UGGGGAAUUUUGGACAAUGGGCGCAAGCCUGAUCCAGCCAUGCCGCGUGCGGGAAGAAGGCCUUCGGGUUGUAAACCGCUUUUGUCAGGGAAGAAAUCUUCUGAGUUAAUACCUCGGGAGGAUGACGGUACCUGAAGAAUAAGCACCGGCUAACUACGUGCCAGCAGCCGCGGUAAUACGUAGGGUGCAAGCGUUAAUCGGAAUUACUGGGCGUAAAGCGUGCGCAGGCGGUUUUGUAAGACAGAGGUGAAAUCCCCGGGCUCAACCUGGGAACUGCCUUUGUGACUGCAAGGCUUGAGUGCGGCAGAGGGGGAUGGAAUUCCGCGUGUAGCAGUGAAAUGCGUAGAUAUGCGGAGGAACACCGAUGGCGAAGGCAAUCCCCUGGGCCUGCACUGACGCUCAUGCACGAAAGCGUGGGGAGCAAACAGGAUUAGAUACCCCUGGUAGUCCACGCCCUAAACGAUGUCAACUGGUUGUUGGGAAGGUUCCUUCUCAGUAACGUAGCUAACGCGUGAAGUUGACCGCCUGGGGAGUACGGCCGCAAGGUUGAAACUUAAAUGAAUUGACGGGGUC
rnacentral:rRNA from 1 species